rnacentral:rRNA from 1 species
UACGUAGGGGGCGAGCGUUGUCCGGAUUUAUUGGGCGUAAAACGCUUGUAGGCGGCCACGCCAAGUCGGAUGUGAAAAUCUCCCGGCUUAACUGGGAGGGGUCAUCCGAUACUGGCGGGCUCGAGGCAGGUAGGGGGGAAGUGGAAUUCCCGGUGUAGUGGUGGAAUGCGUAGAUAUCGGGAGGAACACCAGUGGCGAAGGCGACUUCCUGGACCUGUUCUGACGCUGAGGAGCGAAAAGCGUGGGGGAGCGAUCCGG